rnacentral:rRNA from 1 species
UUAUUUCCCCCAAUACGAGGAAAAGAAACUAACAAGGAUUCCCCUAGUAACGGCGAGUGAAGAGGGAAGAGCCCAAGAUUGAAAGCUGGCGUCUUCGGCGUCCGCAUUGUAAUCUCAAGAAGUGUUUUCCGCUUCGGACCAAGCCUAAGUCCCUUGGAAAAGGGCAUCAUAGAGGGUGAUAAUCCCGUACAUGGCUUGGAGCGCCCGAAGCUUUGUGAUACGCUUUCUAAGAGUCGAGUUGUUUGGGAAUGCAGCUCAAAAUGGGUGGUAAAUGCCAUCUAAGGCUAAAUAUUGGGGAGAGACCGAUAGCGAACAAGUACAGUGAUGGAAAGAUGAAAAGAACUUUGAAAAGAGAGUUAAACAGUACGUGAAAUUGCCAAAAGGGAAGGGUAGGAGGUCAGAGAUGCGGCCUGGGAUUCAGCCUUGCUUUUGCUUGGUGUUUUUCCCAGAUUGCAGGCCAACGUCGGUUUUGGGCACUGGAGAAGGGUAGGAGGAACGUGGCACCUCUCGGGGUGUGUUAUAGCCUCCUACUGGAUACAGCGACCGAGACCGAGGACAGCAGCGUACUCGCAAGAGCGGGCCUUCGGGCACCUUUACGCUUAGGGCGUUGGCAUAAUGGCCCUCUACCACCCGCUAAAAAACCCG